AGAUUGAACGCUGGCGGCAUGCCUUACACAUGCAAGUCGAACGGCAGCACGGGGGCAACCCUGGUGGCGAGUGGCGAACGGGUGAGUAAUGCAUCGGAACGUGCCCAGUAGUGGGGGAUAACUAGUCGAAAGAUUAGCUAAUACCGCAUACGACCUAUGGGUGAAAGCGGGGGAUUCGCAAGAACCUCGCGCUAUCGGAGCGGCCGAUGUCUGAUUAGCUAGUUGGCGGGUAAAAGCCCAACCAAGGCUUCGAUCAGUAGCUGGUCUGAGAGGACGACCAGCCACACUGGGACUGAGACACGGCCAGACUCCUACGGAGGCAGCAGUGGGAAUUUGGACAAUGGGACGCAAGCCUGAUCCAGCCAUGCCGCGUGCGGGAGGAAGGCCUCGGUUGUAACCGCUUUAGUCGAGAACGAAACGACGCGAGA
rnacentral:rRNA from 1 species